UACGUAGGGUGCGAGCGUUAAUCGGAAUUACUGGGCGUAAAGCGUGCGCAGGCGGUUAUGUAAGACAGGGGUGAAAUCCCAGGGCUUAACCUUGGAACUGCAUUUGUGACUGCAUAGCUAGAGUACGGUAGAGGGGGAUGGAAUUCCGCGUGUAGCAGUGAAAUGCGUAGAUAUGCGGAGGAACACCGAUGGCGAAGGCAAUCCCCUGGACCUGUACUGACGCUCAUGUACGAAAGCGUGGGGAGCAAACAGG
rnacentral:rRNA from 1 species